UACGGAGGGAGCUAGCGUUGUUCGGAAUUACUGGGCGUAAAGCGCACGUAGGCGGCGAUCUAAGUCAGAGGUGAAAGCCCGGGGCUCAACCCCGGAAUAGCCUUUGAGACUGGAUUGCUAGAAUCCGGGAGAGGUGAGUGGAAUUCCGAGUGUAGAGGUGAAAUUCGUAGAUAUUCGGAAGAACACCAGUGGCGAAGGCGGCUCACUGGACCGGCAUUGACUCUGAGGUGCGAAAGCGUGGGGAGCAAACAGG
rnacentral:rRNA from 1 species